ACGGAUCACAAGGUCAGGAGAUCGAGACCACCCUGGUGAACACGGGAUCAUUGCAAGAGGUCAUAGGUUGGGGGUUAAUAGGAUGGAAAUACUAUGCCAAUGUGAUUGGUCCGAUCCAGUGCGAAGGCCUGGCCAACCUGGGAGUCACACACAUUGCCUGUGCAGAGAAGCGCUUCGUGAUUCUGUCACGCAAUGGCCAUGUGUACACACAGGCCUACAAUAGUGACACACUGGCCCCACAGCUGGUCCAAGGCCUUGCCUCCAGAAACACUGUAAAAAUUGCUGCCCAUUCUGAUGGUCAUCACUGCGUAACCUUGGCUGCCGCUGGAGAGGUGUAUCCUGGGCUUUGGGGACAGAGGACGGCUGGGCCAUGGGAACACUGUUUCUCUGGAGGAGCCUAAGGUGAUCUCCGCCUUCUCUGGAAAGCAGACCGGGAAGCACGGGCUGCAUAUCUCUUGCGGGAGAACUUACAGCGUAGCCAUCACUGCCGAGGGGGAGCUGUACACCGGGGGCCACGGGAACUACGGCCAGCUGGGCCACGGCUCCAGUGAGGAUGAGGCCAUUCCAAUGCUGGUAGCUGGGCUUAAAGGACUGAAGGUCAUCGAUGUGGCGUGUGGGAGUGGGGACGCUCAAACCCUGGCUGUCACUGAGAACGGUACAUGGAGCUCUCGCCACCCAGGACAGAGCCUCGAGGACAGGCAUGGCAGCUUCCCUGGAGGAAGUGAGAUGAGUACAGUGGGCCUCACGAGGCCGCCCACCCUGUCGUCCAGUGGGUGUGGGAUCAGUAGCAUUGGUGAAGAGGCCGCGGUGGUUAUAUAUGUAUAUAUAUAUUUAUAUUAUUUUUCACUAUGCUUGCUUUGAGUUCAUUUUUCUGUUGUUUAUCUAAGUAGUUGAGGUGAGAGCUUAUUGAUUUGACAGGGCUUGUUUGCCUGGGGCCUGUCAGCAGGUUAGCAGCUGCCGCCAUUCCUGUGUGGACAUUUUAUUUUUUUAAGCAUGAGAGUUGGAAUGGAAUGAUUGACACUCUGAAUUGGCUCCGGUUAGUAUUAUUACAUUUCUUAACGUUUGGCCACUCUUGAUUCCGUGUGGUAAUCCCUGCUAAGUCUUUCCGUGUUCUAUAGUCUGACGCUGCAGUAUCUGCUUGCUUUGAAUUUUCCUUUGUGUUUGUGUUCCAAACUGAGAUCAUCCUCAUCUUUUUUCAGGGGUACAUGAUGAGGUUUGAAGGUUAAAGUGACGUUAAUUGUUUAGAAACGACUCGUCUGUCAGUAUUGUGGGGGUCUGUCCUUGGCAUCCUGUGUGUCUCUGGCAUUGUGGAGUCUUUCUGUGAAAUCGGCUGGGACCUUCAGCUUGCUUUCUCUCCUGCAGAAGUUGAAUGGCAGAUUGAUAAUUGAGUGACUUUUGGGCAUUUCUUAGGUCAAAGAUGAAAAAUCAUCAGAUACUUCUCUAUAUGCAUAGGUCCCGCUGCCGUUGCCGGGACAGACAUUGUCAGAGCCAUCCUGUUUCUGCUACUGUGAGUCCUAGAGCAAAGGUGGUCUCCUCUGAAAGGCUCCUGCUUUCAAGGAGCGUUCAAUUUGACAUCUCGUCAUUUUAAAAUAUCUGUUUUAUCGAUAUCAAGUGAGUGGUAGACCCUAAAAUAUUUCCUGAUUAAAAGUUUUGUGAGGUCGGAGCUGUGUUAGGAUUCUAGCCUUGCGUUCUUUAGUGUAGUUGCUACUUUAGGUGAAGUUUAUGAUGAUACGUUGAGUAAACUGCCUUGAACAGGCUGCAGACAAUGUCUUCCUCACACUAGUGUUUCUUUGGUGCAGAUCUUGUAGGGAAGUGUCCCUGCUGUGCCGUUAUUUUCUGAGGCGACAGUUACGGUAGAAGUAUCCUACCCUGCAGUCUGGCCUUGGGGGACAGUGGGAAAUAACCUGGCGGGCUACGUGAACAGCAUAAUUUUCAGCACAGCAUGUGAAAGUGCACCUCUGAUCUCUGUGUGCAGGUCUGCUGUGCUGCUUUCAUUGACCACGUCAUAGUGUGUCAUCUCCAGUUUCUGGUUCGCUCGGGGUCGGCCUGCUUUUGUAGGUGGAGUUGUAUUGGUGUGCAGGUUUGCCCACUCAUUCACAUAUUGUCUGUGGCUGCUUUCCUGUGACAGUGGCACAGCUGGGUCGUUGGGACAGAAAGCCCACAGAGGCUAAAAAUAUUUACCAUCUGAUCGUUGAGGGAAAUAGUUGCCUAUCUUUAGUUACUACAAAAUAGAACGUGGGAACUUGUGGAGCAAUCUGAUAUCUUCUCUGAUUUCUUUUUCCUGAUCUUUUACAGUUUUCACCUUUAUGUAAUUUCACUUUUUUUUUUGGAAGACA